rnacentral:rRNA from 1 species
UACAGAGGGUGCGAGCGUUAAUCGGAAUUACUGGGCGUAAAGCGCGCGUAGGCGGCUUUUCAAGUCGGAUGUGAAAUCCCUGGGCUCAACCCAGGAACUGCGUCCGAUACUGGCAGGCUUGAAUCCGGGAGAGGGAUGCGGAAUUCCAGGUGUAGCGGUGAAAUGCGUAGAUAUCAAGAGGAACACCUGAGGUGAAGACGGGUUGCUGGGCUGACACUGACGCUGAGGCGCGAAAGCCAGGGGAGCAAACGGG